ACCCGCUGACGAGCGGCGGAAGGGUGAGUAAUGCAUAGGAAUCUGCCCGAUAGUGGGGGAUAACCUGGGGAAACCCAGGCUAAUACCGCAUACGUCCUACGGGAGAAAGGGGGCUCCGGCUCCCGCUAUUGGAUGAGCCUAUGUCGGAUUAGCUAGUUGGUAAGGUAAUGGCUUACCAAGGCAACGAUCCGUAGCUGGUCUGAGAGGAUGAUCAGCCACAUCGGGACUGAGACACGGCCCGAACUCCUACGGGAGGCAGCAGUGGGGAAUAUUGGACAAUGGGGGCAACCCUGAUCCAGCCAUGCCGCGUGUGUGAAGAAGGCCCUCGGGUUGUAAAGCACUUUCAGCGAGGAAGAACGCCUAUCGGUUAAUACCCGGUAGGAAAGACAUCACUCGCAGAAGAAGCACCGGCUAACUCCGUGCCAGCAGCCGCGGUAAUACGGAGGGUGCAAGCGUUAAUCGGAAUUACUGGGCGUAAAGCGCGCGUAGGUGGCUUGAUAAGCCGGUUGUGAAAGCCCCGGGCUCAACCUGGGAACGGCAUCCGGAACUGUCAGGCUAGAGUGCAGGAGAGGAAGGUAGAAUUCCCGGUGUAGCGGUGAAAUGCGUAGAGAUCGGGAGGAA
rnacentral:rRNA from 1 species